CCUAAACGUAUCAGUUGUCAAAAUGAUGCUGUAGGAAGGUUGAUUCAGACAAAUAGGGAUAGAAUAAAAUUAAAUAAGAUUACCGAACUUUGGUACAGCAUUCAUCAGCACACAUCUGAUAGGCAGAAUCUGUGGUUCAUUUUAAAUGACUGCUAAAAACUAUUUUCUAUAGGUUAGCGUUUCUUCAUAGUUUUGCCCAUUAUUUAUGCCCUUUUGUUCUUUCUACAUGUGUGUAUAGGCGUCUGUAUACAAGAAUAAAUGAAAAACCCUGUGCUUGACUCUGUGUUUAGAUGUAUAAUUAUGUACGCUUAUUUGUUGUGUUUUUAUCUGUGACAGUGCUAGUGAUGUUCAAAUAAUGCUUGUCGUUUUAUUGUUGAUAUUGUUGUUAAAAAGGAUCUAAACUAACAAGCCGAUUAGCGGAUACGUUUUUUAAUAAAAUCCAAAAACACACGAGCGCCAUACACGGUAUAGGCGCGCUCAUCGUCUUAUUCUGAAAUUCCCAACCGGAUGUGGCCUUGCAUAAAUCCCGUUGGUGUUCCGCCUGUGGAAAAGCGACCGUUGGAGCGUUUUCUCUUCACCGUGCUCCCAUCCGUUGUGUCCGUCAGCGGCCAUAUCUACUGUAACCGCAUUCAUUCAUUUUUAGACGCACUGCUAUUUUUUUCUUGAACUAAAAGACGGCUAUUUAGUGAGAAAGCCGUGAGCAUCUCGUUGUUUCGUUACCCUCUCGGACGUUUGUCGGUUUAUGCCUCGGUGAGUGUCCGUUGAAGGCUGGGUGGUAACAGUUCGGCUUCACGAUGAUCGAGCGACCAGAAACCGCGGUUCCCAGCAUCGCUCAGCGGAACCUAGAGGGCUACGUGGGCUUUGCCAACCUCCCCAACCAGGUGUAUCGGAAGUCUGUCAAAAGAGGGUUUGAGUUCACAUUAAUGGUUGUAGGUAAGUUGGAAACAUCAACACCUUGACUGUAAGUGAGGACACUCAUGUGCAUGUUUGCUUCUAUUGUGUGUACACCUGCCACUGCUGUGCGUUUUCCAUUGCUGCGUGCAUGAGUCAUCAGCACAGGUUCAAAGACAGUAAAACAUGUGCGGCAUCCCAUACAUGUCACAUUCAGCUGCUCAGGAUGAAGAGUUGACAGUUUAAAAGGCAGUUAAAGGCUUCGAGGUGUUGUUCAGUGAUGAAGAAAGUGUGUCUGUCACCUUAGUAAAAGAUGGAUUUCCACAGUUUCCCACAAGGGUUUUCUCACGUUCCUCUGGCCAGGACGCACAAUGACACAUCAGUGUGUUUUGGAUGACUUCAUUUGGAAAGUAAGCUGCAGGAUGUCUGGUGCAAAAUGUGGCUAACUGCAUUACAGAGCAGGGGAAGUGGACAGGGGAGUGGUGGAACAAUGGCUUGGAUUGUCUAUAUAGAUCUGAAGCAGAAGGUGGUCCACGGUUAUUUUGAUUGUAACAGAUACGACUUUUACUUUUGUUGUUGUUGUAAAUAUGUCCUCCGUGUUUGUUCAGCUGUCACACAUUUUGCUAUGUAUUUUUCACAUAAUGCUAAAUAUGUAAAAGGUCACUUUUUCACCAAGUUUUUUUCACCAGCCAGUGCAAUCCUAACUCGGGCAUAUAAUGGCACAACACAAAGAUUCAGAUUUGUUUCUACCGUGUGGCUAGUUUGCCGGCUACUAUAACUUAGCUACACAUCUGUCUGGCUGUAGGUGUUUUGUUGCUGAUUCUUUUCUAUCUUUAUACUGAUUCUCAGAUACAAUAUACUGUGUAUAUACAGCAACAGGACACUAGAAUAUAAUAACAUGCAACAGCACAACAACAGUGCAGAAUAAUCAUGUUUCUCAUCACUGCCAGUCUUCAAAAAAACAUCCACAUGCCUUAUCUGUGUGCUUCAGUUUCUCUUGUUUUGCAUACUUCUUUGUCAGGAGUGUUAGUUUGUCUCUCUGCGUUCUCCAGCUUUAUUACCCCAUCUCUAACCCUAAAGUAAAUAAUACCAUCUGACGUUAGUGCUUAGCUCUGUGUAGCCGAACUUCCUUAUUUGGCCACAACAGGGAAAUGAAACUUACAAUAUGAGUCGAUCUUAAAGGAAAAAUUCCAAAAUUUUGGGAAACGCUCUUAGUGGCUUCCUGAAAAGGAAUUGUCUUUAGCAGACUGAAGAAUGGACUCAUUUCUAACUCAUAGUAACUAAAAGCAAGUCAAUAUUGGUAACCAAUCGCUGUUGCUCUGUUUUGCUACUGAUUUGACUUUUGGGGAAAAAAUAUUUCUUGUUGUGCUUUAGAAAUAUUCUUUGUUUUUGUCUUAAACUGAACAACUUUUAAAGAGGUCAUAAAUCUAACUCUGUAGCCUGUGGUGACCCCGAGCUGUUCAGUGAAUGGAGAGAGACAUUAACGCAAAGAGGCGUCCACUCAUUAUUGUCUCAGUCUGGGGUUUUAGUUUCCUGUUUAGUAAACAGCCACUGUGGAGGAGCAGUCGAGUGACAGUUUGGGAGAGGGCCACAAAGAUCCACAAUCAGCACCAUCCUGUUUCAGGGUUUCUCACACGCGGGCCCCUCUGUCGCGUCUCAGAUUUCUUAGCAUGCAGCAGCAUAUAAAUUUCACACAUAACUAGCGAGCACGUUUUAAAGAGAAAGUUCAGUGGAAAGUUUCUCAGCUGCAGUCUGUUCCUGUAUUCAUCACACUGUUGUCUGAAAACUCUUGUUUUAUUUAAACAGCACAGAGUGCAAAGACACUGAUCACAAAUUCUAGUACAUCAUGUUUUACCCGAUUUAUCAGGGUUACUGGUAAAAACUUGCAUCAUAAUUAUCAUUUUUGAAAUCUUAAAAAGAAAACACACAAAAAAGAAAAAAAAUACAUCUUAUUAAUACUGGCUAAUUAGGAUUCAGUUACACACGAAUACUUGUUGGUUUUGGGGACGAGGCUCUGAAGGCGAAGAAUCUUAUCACAGGGAGGUUUUUGGUAUGGUACUGCAUACAUGCACUGGAGAAAAAAAAUGUGACAGGAAGGACCUGCUGAGACUCUGGAUUAAUCCAUAGUGUUGCUGAAACAGCAACUAGUGUGUUUCUGUCUACCCAGAUAAAGAGCUUAACGGGUUAAAAGUACCAAUUAAAUAUGCAGGGCCACUUGUAAUUGUGAAGUUGGCUCAUGCAGCUUCAACACUUUUUGCAGCUUCUGUUGUUAUAUCUGUUAACAUAAUCAAACUGCGUUUUGUUUUGUUUUUUUGUCAUGUUAGGCGUUUACUUUUGCUGUUACCCUGAACAGAUUUCCAGAGCAGUAGGUUAAACAUUUGCGUCUUUAUCAUAAAAUGCGGACUCGACCAAAUAUGAGGCUCAUAAAAGUCACGAUCACAGAACAAUGUAUUUUAAUGGAGAAGUUGCAGAGGGGAAAAAAAGGAAAUACCAGUGUUAGAAAGAGAGACAGAAGAGCUGAUUAUGUUUUGACUUGACGAGCAGCCAACUGGAGCUACAGUCUAAGACUAAAGGUUGGCUUCAGUUCUGCUGUACUUGGCAUUGUCACGAAGUGUGAAAGCUCAGCUGGCCUCUGAGGCCGUGCAUUGUUCUGCCGCACUUUUGGAAAGACAGAUGGUGAAAUAUUAGACGACUGGGCUGAUGCCUGCAGCUCACUUGCUCAGAUUCCAGUAGUGCAAGCAAACACUUGAGCUUAUUGUUAAGGCUUGACCUUAGAAACAAAAAUGACCCCCCCCCCC